rnacentral:rRNA from 1 species
UACGUAGGGUGCAAGCGUUAUCCGGAAUUACUGGGCGUAAAGGGCUCGUAGGUGGCCAACUAAGUCAGACGUGAAAUCCCUCGGCUUAACCGGGGAACUGCGUCUGAUACUGGAUGGCUUGAGUUUGGGAGAGGGACGCGGAAUUCCAGGUGUAGCGGUGAAAUGCGUAGAUAUCUGGAGGAACACCGGUGGCGAAGGCGGCGUCCUGGACCAACACGUGACACUGAGGAGCGAAAGCCAGGGGAGCAAACGGG